ACAAAAUCUUUGAAACAAAGAGUAACUAUAACAAUGUUAUACAGAGAGUUGCAGAUGGUGAGAGGCAGCAAACAGACUUAUAGCGAAGAGAGUUGUUGAGAUGAGUAGGACAAAGAAAACAUUCGAGUAUCCUACUUCGCUAAAUGGCGUUAUAUUAAGAGAGAUCACAAUCGUAUUGUGAUUAUUGAAGUGGUACCGCGGAAAGUAAUUCGUCUUCUUG
rnacentral:ncRNA from 1 species